AAGUCGAACGGUAGCACAGAGAGCUUGCUCUCGGGUGACGAGUGGCGGACGGGUGAGUAAUGUCUGGGAAACUGCCUGAUGGAGGGGGAUAACUACUGGAAACGGUAGCUAAUACCGCAUAACGUCGCAAGGCCAAAGAGGGGGACCUUCGGGCCUCUUGCCAUCAGAUGUGCCCAGAUGGGAUUAGCUAGUAGGUGGGGUAACGGCUCACCUAGGCGACGAUCCCUAGCUGGUCUGAGAGGAUGACCAGCCACACUGGAACUGAGACACGGUCCAGACUCCUACGGGAGGCAGCAGUGGGGAAUAUUGCACAAUGGGCGCAAGCCUGAUGCAGCCAUGCCGCGUGUAUGAAGAAGGCCUUCGGGUUGUAAAGUACUUUCAGCGGGGAGGAAGGUGUUGCGGUUAAUAACCGCAGCAAUUGACGUUACCCGCAGAAGAAGCACCGGCUAACUCCGUGCCAGCAGCCGCGGUAAUACGGAGGGUGCAAGCGUUAAUCGGAAUUACUGGGCGUAAAGCGCACGCAGGCGGUCUGUCAAGUCGGAUGUGAAAUCCCCGGGCUCAACCUGGGAACUGCAUUCGAAACUGGCAGGCUAGAGUCUUGUAGAGGGGGGUAGAAUUCCAGGUGUAGCGGUGAAAUGCGUAGAGAUCUGGAGGAAUACCGGUGGCGAAGGCGG
rnacentral:rRNA from 1 species